rnacentral:rRNA from 1 species
UACGGAGGGUGCAAGCGUUAUCCGGAUUUACUGGGUUUAAAGGGUGCGUAGGCGGACAGGUAAGUCAGUGGUGAAAUCCCCGAGCUCAACUUGGGAACUGCCGUUGAUACUAUCUGUCUUGAAUACCGUGGAGGUGAGCGGAAUAUGUCAUGUAGCGGUGAAAUGCUUAGAUAUGACAUAGAACACCAUUGCGAAGGCAGCUCACUACGCGGUCAUUGACGCUGAGGCACGAAAGCGUUGGGGAGCAAA